rnacentral:rRNA from 1 species
UACGUAGGGUGCAAGCGUUAAUCGGAAUUACUGGGCGUAAAGCGUGCGCAGGCGGUUUUGUAAGUCUGUCGUGAAAUCCCCGGGCUCAACCUGGGAAUUGCGAUGGAGACUGCAAGGCUAGAAUCUGGCAGAGGGGGGUAGAAUUCCACGUGUAGCAGUGAAAUGCGUAGAGAUGUGGAGGAAUACCGAUGGCGAAGGCAGCCCCCUGGGAUAACACUGACGCUCAUGC